UGGGGAAUAUUGCACAAUGGGGGAAACCCUGAUGCAGCGACGCCGCGUGAACGAAGAAGGUAUUCGUAUCGUAAAGUUCUGUCCUAUGGGAAGAUAAUGACAGUACCAUAGAAGAAAGCUCCGGCUAAAUACGUGCCAGCAGCCGCGGUAAUACGUAUGGAGCGAGCGUUGUCCGGAAUUAUUGGGCGUAAAGGGUACGCAGGCGGUUUAAUAAGUCGAAUGUUAAAGAUCGGGGCUCAACCCCGUAAAGCAUUGGAAACUGAUAAACUUGAGUAGUGGAGAGGAAAGUGGAAUUCCUAGUGUAGUGGUGAAAUACGUAGAUAUUAGGAGGAAUACCAGUAGCGAAGGCGACUUUCUGGACACAAACUGACGCUGAGGUACGAAAGCGUGGGGAGCAAACA
rnacentral:rRNA from 2 species